GUAGGUGGCAAGCGCUGUCCGGAAUUAUUGGGCGUAAAGCGCGCGCAGGCGGUCCUUUAAGUCUGAUGUGAAAGCCCACGGCUCAACCGUGGAGGGUCAUUGGAAACUGGGGGACUUGAGUACAGAAGAGGAAAGCGGAAUUCCAAGUGUAGCGGUGAAAUGCGUAGAGAUUUGGAGGAACACCAGUGGCGAAGGCGGCUUUCUGGUCUGUAACUGACGCUGAGGCGCGAAAGCGUGGGGAGCAAACAGGGAUUAGAUACCCUGGUAGUCCACGCCGUAAACGAUGAGUGCUAAGUGUUAGGGGGUUUCCGCCCCCUUAGUGCUGCAGCUAACGCAUUAAGCACUCCGCCUGGGGAUACGGCCGCAAGGCUG
rnacentral:rRNA from 1 species